rnacentral:rRNA from 1 species
GACGAACGCUGGCGGCGUGCCUAAUACAUGCAAGUAGAACGCUGAAGGAGGAGCUUGCUUCUCUGGAUGAGUUGCGAACGGGUGAGUAACGCGUAGGUAACCUGCCUGGUAGCGGGGGAUAACUAUUGGAAACGAUAGCUAAUACCGCAUAAGAGUAGAUGUUGCAUGACAUUUGCUUAAAAGGUGCAAUUGCAUCACUACCAGAUGGACCUGCGUUGUAUUAGCUAGUUGGUGGGGUAACGGCUUACCAAGGCGACGAUACAUAGCCGACCUGAGAGGGUGAUCGGCCACACUGAGACUGAGACACGGCCCAGACUCCUACGGGAGGCAGCAGUAGGGAAUCUUCGGCAAUGGACGGAAGUCCGACCGAGCAACGCCGCGUGAGUGAAGAAGGUUUUCGGAUCGUAAAGCUCUGUUGUAAGAGAAGAACGAGUGUGAGAGUGGAAAGUUCACACUGUGACGGUAUCUUACCAGAAAGGGACGGCUAACUACGUG